GCCGGAGGGGGGCGGCGGAGACGGCUCGUCUGUGUCCGAGUCGUCGUCGUCCUCGGGCACCUGAGGCUUGAGCAGCACCGAACGGCCCCGACUGCGGGGCCGGCGCGGCGAACACAUGAAAACGUCGGCAGCCAUGAGGAGAACCUGGUCCGGGGCAUCCCCCGGGAGCCGGGACGACGUAAAGCGGAGAAGCACGGGGAACGGAGGGGGCCGCCGGCCCGACCCGGCCUGGCCCUCGCGCAGACUGCCCGGGAACGCGCGGCCUGAGGGGGAGGGCGCGGGCCUCCUCGUAACGUCACUGUCGUCUUGGCCAAUCGGAUGCUCGCCUCUGCCUCUUAAAGGAAAUCCAGUGAGAUGGUUCAGUAGGUAAAUAAAAGCACUUGCUGUUAAGUCUGACCUUCAUUCCAACCCGUGGGACCCACAAGAUAGAAGACUCCCAACAACUUAAUCUCUGACCACCCCAACCCCACUGUGGCAUCUGCGCUUCUCACGAUAAAUAAAGGUAAAAAUAAAUAAAUAAAAGA
ensembl:antisense Gm15747 predicted gene 15747